rnacentral:lncRNA from 1 species
CCAUCUCCCAAACUUUCACAUAAUAGGCCUAUUUAUUCCUCAGUUUUUUCCACUGGAACCUCUGUGGUGGCUGUCUCUGGUGCUUCAGUGACUGGCUUCUCUUCUUCAGCUGGUUUCUCUUCCUCUGCAGGAGCAGCUGGUGUCUCUGUUACAGUCUCUGUGGGCUUCUCCUCUGCAACUGGCUCAGGCUCAGGCUCAGCCCCAGCCUCAGCCUCAGGCUCAGCCUCAGCCUCAGCUGGCUUUUCUGUCUCUUGAUCUACUUCUGGUGCAGGCUCCUCAGUCUUCUCAACCUUUUCUACUUCUUCAACAUUCUCGGUUUCAGCCUCGGCAGGAGCUUCAACUUCCGGUUCUGUAGGAGCAGCUGCAG